GACGAACGCUGGCGGCGUGCUUAACACAUGCAAGUCGAACGGAAAGGCCCUGCUUUUGUGGGGUGCUCGAGUGGCGAACGGGUGAGUAACACGUGAGUAACCUGCCCUUGACUUUGGGAUAACUUCAGGAAACUGGGGCUAAUACCGGAUAGGAGCUCCUGCUGCAUGGUGGGGGUUGGAAAGUUUCGGCGGUUGGGGAUGGACUCGCGGCUUAUCAGCUUGUUGGUGGGGUAGUGGCUUACCAAGGCUUUGACGGGUAGCCGGCCUGAGAGGGUGACCGGCCACAUGGGGACUGAGAUACGGCCCAGACUCAUACGGGGGGCAGGAGUGGGGAAUAUUGCACAAUGGGCGGAAGCCUGAGGCAGCAACGCCGCGUGCGGGAUGACGGCUUUCGGGUUGUAAACCGCUUUCGCCUGUGACGAAGCGUGAGUGACGGUAAUGGGUAAAGAAGCACCGGCUAACUACGG
rnacentral:rRNA from 1 species